rnacentral:rRNA from 1 species
UAAUACGGAGGAUCCAAGCGUUAUCCGGAAUCAUUGGGUUUAAAGGGUCCGUAGGCGGUCUGGUAAGUCAGGGGUGAAAUCCUGCAGCUCAACUGUAGCAUUGCCUUUGAUACUGCCAGACUUGAGUUAUUGUGAAGUAGUUAGAAUGUGUAGUGUAGCGGUGAAAUGCAUAGAUAUUACACAGAAUACCGAUUGCGAAAGCAGAUUACUAACAAUAUACUGACGCUGAGGGACGAAAGCGUGGGUAGCGAACAGGAUUAGAUACCCUGGUAGUCCACGCCGUAAACGAUGGAUACUAGCUGUUCGACCAACAUUGGUUGGUUGAGUGGCUAAGCGAAAGUGAUAAGUAUCCCACCUGGGGAGUACGCCCGCAAGAGUG